rnacentral:lncRNA from 1 species
CUCUUAUACUUAUUAUUUUCUCUCAUAUUGAAGCUUGCGUGCCCCGUGGAGGUAAGCUUUGGGUUGAUUUACGUAUUUAAUUGUGUCUUUUUUAUUUCUUCUUUCUUUUUGCCACAACAACUGAUAUCAAAACUUCAAUAGGGCUGCCAUCCGCACUCAUGCUUUCUCACGAACUCCUUCAAAUAGAUCUAAAUUGGCACAAAGCUGCUCUAUAUUAUUUUGAUCAUCGUAACCCUCGAUCCAAUGUGAAGGGAGUACGAUUUCU